rnacentral:rRNA from 1 species
GAUGAACGCUGGCGGCGUGCUUAACACAUGCAAGUCGAACGGAAAGGCUCCUGCUUGCAGGGGUACUCGAGUGGCGAACGGGUGAGUAACACGUGGGUGAUCUGCCCUGCACUUCGGGAUAAGCCUGGGAAACUGGGUCUAAUACCGGAUAGGACGAUGGUUUGGAUGCGAUUGUGGAAAGUUUUUCGGUGUGGGAUGAGCUCGCGGCCUAUCAGCUUGUUGGUGGGGUAAUGGCCUACCAAGGCGUCGACGGGUAGCCGGCCUGAGAGGGUGUACGGCCACAUUGGGACUGAGAUACGGCCCAGACUCCUACGGGAGGCAGCAGUGGGGAAUAUUGCACAAUGGGCGCAAGCCUGAUGCAGCGACGCCGCGUGGGGGAUGACGGCCUUCGGGUUGUAAACUCCUUUCGCUAGGGACGAAGCGCAAGUGACGGUACCUGGAGAAGAAGCACCGGCUAACUACGUG